rnacentral:sRNA from 2 species
UCAAUAAAAUAUCCACCAAUCGAAUAACCCAAUGCAUAGAUAUAUUCAGGGACGAUCCAGCAUCUCCGCUUAGGUAUACCAGACUCUAAUAAAUAUCCAUCGGCUGCACUCAACCACUUUAAAUUCUAUAUUAAAUUGCAAAUUAUCAGAUUAGGGUUACUGCCGCGUCUUAUCUUGAUAGGCUAGGUAAAUAAUCUUUCUCAAAUUCAUAUUAUUUGAGAUUAUAAGAACUAUUAACUGCUGUAUCAACUCAAUAUUUACCCUGGAUCGAUUAAGAAAAAUGGUCAUUUUUUAAAUUGAAACUAAUCAACCGAAUGUUUUAUAUAAAUUCUCAGAAAUUCAAAGUUUUCGAGAUUUUUUUUUUUUUUUAAACGAGAUACAACUGAUUGAAUCGUUUAAAAAAUUUGUAGCGAUUAUAAUUACAUACAAUGAGUGCAGCACGAGGAGGAAAUAGGCCGAUCGGUUUCCAAUGCAAGCAUACAUUGCCUCUAUUGACCGUCCAAAAAUGUAAUGUUUUUCACCUCCCCAUCUUCAGCUCCAAGUGAGAAUAAUGAAGGGUAAAUGUAGCUGGAAGACACGGCCGGGUAGUAGUACAGUAAAAGGGAGGGAAGGUAAUAACAUAUACGGACAAACAAUGCUGUUGAAUCUUCUUGGCUGGAGAAAAAGGAAGAAAUUUUGAAGAAGACAGCGAGAAGAGAGAAAACAAUAAGGGAGAAUCGCCACAAACGCCAUGCAGACUGCAAAGCACGUGGCGCUGGGGCAAAGCAUGACAUAUGGAAAUACAGGAAAGACGCAUGCUGAAAACAAAACACAGAGGAACGGAAACGGGGAAAUUUCCGGAAAAAGCCCAACAGGCGCAAAAUAUUGCUAUCAGAGAAACAUAUGACAAGGAACAUCGAAGCAUGCCUUACAUAUCAUUUCGAAAAAAAAAAAAAUGGAGGAAG